UGCAGUCGAGGGAGAACCCCUUCGGGGGUGGAAACCGGCGAAAGGGCGAGUAAUGCGAUCGAACGUGCCCCGAGGUAGAGGAUAGCUGCGGGAAACCGCAGGUAAUACUCUAUGUGCUCUUCGGAGCAAAGCUUCGGCGCCUUGGGAGCGGCGAUAUUCCUAUCAGGUUGUUGGUGAGGUAAAAGCUCACCAAGCCUUUGACGGGUAGCGGGUGUGAGAGCAUGACCCGCCGCAUCGGGACUGAGACACUGCCCGGACUCCUACGGGAGGCUGCAGCGACGAAUAUUCCGCAAUGCGCGAAAGCGUGACGGAGCAAUGCCGCGUGUGGGAUGAAGCAGUUUUGCUGUGUAAACCACUGUCAGGGUUUAGGAAGAACUGACCAGACUCAAAGGAAGGGCCGGCUAACCUCGUGCCAGCAGCCGCGGUAAUACGAAGGGCCCGAGCGUUGCGCGGAAUCACUGGGCUUAAAGCGUACGUAGGCGGAUCUAUAGGCAUCUUGUGAAAUCCCACAGCUCAACCGUGGAACUGCUCGAGGAACCAUAGAUCUUGAGGCAGGUAGGGGCUGUCGGAACGAUAGGUGGAGUGGUGAAAUGCGUUGAUAUCUAUCGGAACACCGAAGGAGAAAUCAGACAGCUGGGCCUGUCCUGACGCUAAGGUACGAAAGCGUGGGUAGCGAACGGGAUUAGAUACCCCGGUAGUCCACGCCGUAAACGAUGUGCACUAGAUCGAGGGGGUUUUGACGCCGCUCUGGUCGCAGCGAAAGUGUUAAGUGCACCGCCUGGGGAGUACGGUCGCAAGGCUAAAACUCAAAGGAAUUGACGGGGGCUCACACAAGCGGUGGAGCAUGUUGCUUAAUUCGAAGCAACGCGAAGAACCUUACCUGGGUUUGACAUGCACGGAUUAGCUCAUGGAAACUUGAGUAACGCCCUUUGGGUGGAACAUGCACAGGUGCUGCAUGGCUGUCGUCAGCUCGUGCUGUGAAGUGUCGGGUUAAGUCCCUUAACGAGCGCAACCCUUAUCGCUAGUUGCCAGCGCGUAAUGGCGGGGACUCUAGCGAGACUGCCGGUGUCAAACCGGAGGAAGGUGGGGAUGACGUCAAGUCCUCAUGGCCCUUAUGUCCUGGGAUGCAAACGUGCUACAAUGGCGUGUACAGAGCGAUGCAAUACCGCGAGGUGGAGCAAAUCGCAAAAAGCACGCCCCAGUUCGGAUUGGAGGCUGCAAUUCGCCUCCAUGAAGUUGGAAUCGCUAGUAAUCGUGGAUCAGCCAUGCCACGGUGAAUGUGUUCCUGAGCCUUGUACACACCGCCCGUCAAGUCAUGGAAGCUGGGAGUGCCCGAAGUCCGCUCAUCUCAGGGGUGCCUACGGCA
rnacentral:rRNA from 1 species